rnacentral:lncRNA from 1 species
UCUGAAAGGUAAUUCUCCCUUUCUCCCAUUUCUGGAUGUGUGUAGACUUUAAAUGGUUUAAUGAGCAUGGCUUUGAAGUUUAGGAUUCUAAUGGCCCUAGUCCCUUUGCCCACAUGAUUGUGUGUGCUUUAGUCACUAAGGCAGAAGGUCAUUACUUUGUUCUGUGCAUCUUUGGAAGUUGCACCCUCAUUCUUCAGAAGGCCAGGAGACCCCAGGGCUCAGCCUGAGUUCUAGGAUGGUACUUUGGACCCAGCAUUAACAUUGUAAUACUGUGUCAUUUUCCCAAUAGUUAAUAUGAUCCUCUGUUGAAGCAAGAAGACAAACUGUAUGGUGGAGAAAGAAGUGGGAAGGAUCUGCGCGGAAGAAGCCUGAGAAGAUGAUGCACAGAUAGAGAGGCACCAGGACUUGAGAGGCACCAGGACUUGGGAGGCAUGUUGAUCCAUCUCCAGGAAAGACUGAGAAAAAGAGCGUUGAAUAUAAGAAAAAAUACUUCCUCUGUUCUCAGAUCGUAUUUGUUUUAAGGCCACACCUUUUUGAAGUUUUCAGUUUGAAACACAACCUGGACUGAAAU